UACGGAGGGUGCAAGCGUUAAUCGGAAUUACUGGGCGUAAAGCGCACGUAGGUGGAGGGACAAGUUUGAUGUGAAAGCCCUGGGCUUAACCUGGGAAUGGCGUUGAAGACUGUUUUUCUAGAGUUUGACAGAGGGCUGUGGAAUUUCCGGUGUAGCGGUGAAAUGCGUAGAGAUCGGAAAGAACACCAGUGGCGAAGGCGGCGGACUGGGUCGAGACUGACACUGAGGUGCGAAAGCGUGGGGAGCAAACAGG
rnacentral:misc_RNA from 1 species